CUAUAUGUAUGUAAAUGAAAUUAUUUAAAUGUGUUUUCUAAUUAAUUGUUGAAAUGUAUAUUUAUCGUUUUAUUAAAACUGUGUUGUGAUGUCACGUGAUCUGUUUGCAACUGUGAUUGAAUAUGUGGGUGCGUGUGUAUCACGACUCCAAGCCUAGAUGAGACAUUAUCACGGUGGAGCUCCUCUGGUCACUUGGGAGCGUAACAGACUGACAUGACGUCCCCUGA